UGGGGAAUCUUGGACAAUGGGCGCAAGCCUGAUCCAGCCAUGCCGCGUGAGUGAUGAAGGCCUUAGGGUUGUAAAGCUCUUUUUGCCGGGGACGAUAAUGACGGUACCCGGAGAAUAAGUCCCGGCUAACUUCGUGCCAGCAGCCGCGGUAAUACGAAGGGGACUAGCGUUGUUCGGAAUCACUGGGCGUAAAGCGCACGUAGGCGGAUUUGUAAGUCAGGGGUGAAAUCCCGGGGCUCAACCUCGGAACUGCCUUUGAUACUGCGGAUCUCGAGUCCGAUAGAGGUGAGUGGAAUUCCUAGUGUAGAGGUGAAAUUCGUAGAUAUUAGGAAGAACACCGGUGGCGAAGGCGGCUCACUGGAAUCGGUACUGACGCUGAGGUGCGAAAGCGUGGGGAGCAAACAGGAUUAGAUACCCCGGUAGUCCCUGAGCGGGCUGGCAAGGCGCAU
rnacentral:rRNA from 1 species